ensembl:lncRNA MSRB3-AS1 MSRB3 antisense RNA 1
CCUACUCAAGAUGGAGUCGCUCUGGUUUGAACGCCUCUGACACUUCCACUCUCAAGGAAUGGUGUUUUUAUUCUCUUCUCCCCAGAAUGUACUUCUGGUCUGUCCCGCUGUUCCAUUCCACAGCAUUUUAGGAGGUUCUCAAGAGUGUCCUAAACAAGCAGAGAAGAAUGGUGAGACUUACCCAUUCCUAGUUUAAGAAAUGAGUGAAAUGGGGUCUGAGUUAUAUCACAGCUACAGUUUAGACUCCUGUGGUACAGUUGGCUUUCCCAGGCUCCCGGCGUCCAUGCUGUCUCGGCGCUAUCUCGCAGCCUGACGCCACGCGCCAUCUGCUGGCCUUGAGCUGCAUAGCUCUAGAGUAACUUCAGAGGCCACGGGGGAACAAAGAGCACUCGCCUACUUGACUGAGCUCCGACAGGCCGUCCCUCUGCUUCAGGUGUAGGCGUGAACAAGUCCAGACCACUACCUUAACAGUAACAAGUACUUGACACAUGUCCUUGGUCUAGAAAGGAUGGAGGAGCCACAGACAGCUGAGGUGCAGGCUCCAGCUCAAUGGCCUGUCAUUACAAGAGGCUCUUGGAGUUUCUGAUCUUCUUCGCCUCUCUCUAUGCCCAACCCUGUCUAGAGUGCACCUCAGCAUGAUUUUAGAAAACAGCAUGGAGAAAGAGAAGUUGAGGCCAGUCUUUCUCCUCCGAUCACCAAGUAUCUAUUAAAAGCCAUUCCCUCCA